rnacentral:rRNA from 1 species
GACGAACCGUCCAAACGUUAUUCGGAAUUACUGGGCUUAAAGGGUGCGUAGGCGGCGCGGAAAGUUGGGUGUGAAAUCCCUCGGCUCAACCGUGGAACUGCUUGGUAUACUGCUUAUCUUGGGCCACUUAGGGGUUACCGGAACAAACGGUGGAGCGGUGAAAUGCGUAGAUAUCGUUUGGAACGCCAAUGGUGAAAACAGGUAACUGGGAGUGUGCCGACGCUGAGACACGAAAGCUAGGGGAGCGAACGGGA